rnacentral:misc_RNA from 1 species
AUAUAUAUAUCAACCUCUCCUCAGCUUUUUUGCUUGUCGAGUGUUUUGGAUUUGGGAGUCUUUUUUAUGCUGGACUCUUUUUUGAGGUCAGCUCUCCUAAAAUGCAUCAGCGAAACCAUUUGUUGAUCGUUCAUUGGUGUGAUAACUAAUCUACGCUAUUGACGGUUGAGGCUGCGUUUCGCUUCUAACAGUCCAUUGACUUGGACAAACUUUUUAUUA